rnacentral:rRNA from 1 species
UACGUAGGGUGCAAGCGUUAAUCGGAAUUACUGGGCGUAAAGCGUGCGCAGGCGGUUUUGUAAGUCUGUCGUGAAAUCCCCGGGCUUAACCUGGGAAUUGCGAUGGAGACUGCAAGGCUAGAAUCUGGCAGAGGGGGGUAGAAUUCCACGUGUAGCAGUGAAAUGCGUAGAGAUGUGGAGGAACACCAAUGGCGAAGGCAGCCCCCUGGGUCAAGAUUGACGCUCAUGCACGAAAGCGUGGGGAGCAAACAGG